rnacentral:misc_RNA from 1 species
AUCUCGAUAAAAUUUAUAUGUGACCACAUGAUAAAUAUCAGCUUUCGAUUAAAUUAAAAAUUAUCAAAAUCGGUACACCCAGUAAAAAGUUAUUACGGAUUUUCGAGAGUUUCCCUCGAUUCCUCUGGGAUCCCAUCAUCAGAUCCUGGUUUCCUUAUCACGGUACCAAACUAGAGAUAUCCCCUUUCCAACAAAAAAAGAAUUAUCAAGAUCGGUACAUCCAGUAGAAAGUUAUGCGGUAUAAUACAACGUAGGUCGACGAAAAAAGCGUCAAGUAAAAACGCAUUAUUAGAUAUAACUCAAAAA